GCUGAACUUUGGGAAUUUUUUAAAAAUGUUAUAAUAGUGAUUUUAUGAUGUCUAAGUAUAAAUCCAGAAACAAAAUGUGAAAAAACAAAAAACCUACAUCAGAGAGUGGCAAGAUGAGCAAAUGAGUGAUCCUCUGCAGCUAUACUGGUUGUAGUAGUAAUAUGUAAUUUUAAUUUUAAAAGUGUUUGUUUUCCACCAGGUGGCAUAAAUCUUACACCUAAGUAUGGCACAUUUGCUAUGCAUUGUCUCCAUAUAUAUAUAUAUAUAUAUAUAUAUAUAAAUGCAGAUCUUCUUCAGAGAAAGUGAAUUAUACAUAUUUGUGUAUUUGUGAAGUAAAAAAAAAAAAAAAAAAAAACCAUUUUAAAAUGUGUUUUGCUGCCAGGGCUCAGCAGUAAUUGGGGGUGUUGUACAGCACACUUUCAAAAAUGGGCAGAGGGUCGCACCUUUUUUCCCCAUCCUUGAUGAGGUUAAUGCUAAUGUAGACAGGCAUGUUAUGUCUUGUGGUUUGCAGUCAAACAUGUUAUCAGAAACAACUGGAUGUGUGAGUAAAUCACCUCAAGUUUCCUGUGAGGGCUAGUGUUAGGGGAUACAAUGCACAGGGGGCAUUAACAAUGAUCUUGCAUACCCCUCAGCAAAUGUGCAGUUGCACCCCUGUGUACAUUUCGACACCCUUUUUAAAAGUUUGAAUAAACAAGAAAAUAAUUGAAAGCAAUUAAAAGGCAGUGUAGGUCAUACUGUCUUUCUGACUCUUUUUGUUUUUACUAAAUUAAUCUAAAACUGUCACUGUUGGCCCUAAUCUCAUGUAGUCUGCUUGGUAAUGUUUUCAAAUCUUUAGGUUGAACUCGUCCAAGACCUCUUUAGGACAUCAGCAAAAUCAGCAUCAGAGUAAACAACGUUGGUGAUGAGACUUUAUGUCCAGUACAUGCAUCUGAAUUGACAUAUCUCUGGAUUUCCUUCCAUAAUGAAUGGUUUCGUUAAGGCUCUUUUCAAAGGCUUUCUAUGGUUUUUGCCUAGCAAUCAAGGAUCUGAGCUGGAAACACAAAGGUCAAAGUUUGAUCCCAGGUAUGGAUGACACUGUUGUGCAUUUGAGCAACUCAUUUAACCCAGCGUUGCUCCUGAAGCCUGCCUGACAAUUGAGGUAUUGUAAGGCACUUAAGAAAGAAAGCAGGUAUUAAAUGAAAAGUAAUCAACUCCUCUUUUCAAUCUUCUUGUCAGUUUUUGUCGUCUUUAGAACUUAAUUUUAGCUUCGAUCACACUGCAAUUAAUUUCAUUGUCUACUCAGUAGAGUAUCUUCUUGGCCGUAUUAUAUUCUCCCUCCCGUUGAUCAUAUUUUACCCAUCUGAGAGAAUGAAAUGUGAGUCACUGCUGACACUGCAGAUCAAUCCUCCUGAAAUACAAUGAAGGGGAGAUACUAAAAAUGGAUGAUGGAAGCUGGAUCUGUGUGUGUUUUUGUGAAUCAUAAAAAUAGCACCAUCUUGGCAGCAUGAGAACCCAUAAAUGAUUAAGAAAAGAGCAGAACUUACUGGUUUUUAGUAUUUGUUUUAAACUGCAUGAUGUCCAUUAUAUCAAUCUGUACCAUAAUGGUCAAUGGUUUUAAUUAAAUGUUCGAUGUUUCAUUGUGCAUACUCAUUAAACCCUUAUUUUUACAUUUAGAUUACCUUUGCCAUUAUUUAAAGUUCUUAAAAUUUCUAAAACACUAAUAAUUUAACACCAGCAAAUGUAAUUUUUAGCUCUUCUCAGAAUGAACAUGCAUUUUAGCGUUUUAGACAAUGAAAUC
ensembl:lncRNA